GACGAACGCUGGCGGCGUGCUUAACACAUGCAAGUCGAACGGGUCUGCCCUGUUUUUUGCGGGGUGGGUCAGUGGCGAACGGGUGAGUAACACGUGAGUAACCUGCCCCUCACUUCUGGAUAACCGCUUGAAAGGGUGGCUAAUACGGGGUGUUCUGGCUGUGCCGCAUGGUGUGGCUGGGAAAGAUUCACUUUUGUGGUGUUUUGGUGGGGGAUGGGCUCGCGGCCUAUCAGCUUGUUGGUGGGGUGAUGGCCUGCCAAGGCUUUGACGGGUAGCCGGCCUGGGAGGGUGGGCGGUCAAACGAGGACUGAGAUACGGCCCAGACUGCGGCGGGAGGCAGCAGUGGGGGGUAUUGCACGAUGGGCAGAAGCCUGAUGCAGCGACGUCGCGUGAGGGAUGGAGGCCUGCGGGUUGUGAACCUCUUUCGCCGGUGAAGAAGGUCCAGCUCUUAGUGGUGGGGUUGACGGUAGCCGGGUUAUGAAGCGCCGGCUAACUACGUG
rnacentral:rRNA from 1 species